ensembl:lncRNA novel transcript
UAGAAUGAUGAAUUCAAAGUAGAUGAGGAAAAUCAGGCACAGAGAAGUAAAGGUAGGUACAGACCCAAAUUCACACAAGAUAAUGACAUCACCAGCGUUUAAGUUGAUCAUCAAAGGCUGGGCUGGAUUUGUCUUGCUGUAUGUGUCAGGAAAUUUAUACCUAUUACAUUUUCCAUUUUCUCAAAAUAAGUCACAUGAUUGUAAUGUUUAGCUGCAACUUUUCUCCUAAUAAAUAGUGUCAUGAAGAAUGUUAUAGUGCGAAGUUUGUACAUUUCAGGGUCAGUUAUACAAUGUGAACUCUUUAUCUACGGGAAUGAGAAUGGAGGAUCAUUGAAGGCCAUGAUAUAAACAAAUUUGCAUGUUGAAGCCUGUAUAAAACAUGGUACAGUGAGUGAAUGCCCCCAUCCCCAAGAACACUUUAUACAUAUUAAAUGGAUAUAUGAUUACUGUGCAAAAAUUCAUUCUGGAAAUGAACAUAUAUUUGAGCACUAAUAUGUAAUGUACAUCUUCUGCCCUAAGGAGAAAAUAAAUCAUAAAACUUGUUUUACAUUCAAAAUUACUUUCCCGAGCAUGUCUUAGAGUAAUCUACGUGUUGAUGUAUGUAAAUUGUAUUUUAGGUAGGCAAAGAAACAAGUCUGGUUAUUUAUGUAAAAACUAGUCUAAUAAAGUGAGUGGCUUUAUCACUUUGAA